UACGUAGGGUGCAAGCGUUGUCCGGAAUUAUUGGGCGUAAAGAGCUCGUAGGUGGCGGGUCACGUCGGGUGUGAAAGCCCGGGGCUUAACCCCGGGUCUGCAUUCGAUACGGGCUCGCUAGGGUCCUGCAGGGGAGACGUGGAAUUCCUGGUGUAGCGGUGAAAUGCGCAGAUAUCAGGAGGAACACCGGUGGCGAAGGCGGGUCUCUGGGCAGGUACCGACGCUGAGGAGCGAAAGCGUGGGGAGCGAACAGG
rnacentral:rRNA from 1 species